CUCCCCGGAAGGUCGGACCGGCGUCUGCACAGGCCUUGAAGAGCAUUCCUCUGCAAGACGUUGAGCUGUGUCUGCUAAGCAGAGCUUGUACCUGUGAGGAACAAGUCACUCGUGCUAAAUACACGAUGGCAGCAGAUCCUACGGCAGUCAGGGGAGGCUUUCUACGAAAGCAGCUCCCAAAGAAGCUGAAUGGCCCAAGAACAAAUGGUCCAACUACCACAGCUGGAAAACGGGUAAGAUGGGUGGACCGCAGCGUAAGAGCCGCACAGAAAGAGACCCAGCAGCACUGCACAUUAGACACGACUGGACUGCCUCCCGUGAUCGGUGGAACUUUGUUCAUGAGCCAAAUACUCUCGACCUCUGCUGGCGCAGCACGUUUUCCCAGCCUGCCUCAUCUUGGGCCUGGACUUUUAUUCAGUGACUGAUCUGGACUCAAUUUGGCUUCAUGUUAGUAUGAGUGACCAGGAUCAAGACCUUGCUCGGACUGUGUAUGCCUUACGGAGUAAGGGAUUGAUGUGUGAAUAAACCACGCGUU